rnacentral:rRNA from 1 species
GUGGGGAAUAUUGGACAAUGGGCGAAAGCCUGAUCCAGCCAUGUCGCGUGUGUGAAGAAGGUCUUCGGAUUGUAAAGCACUUUAAGUUGGGAGGAAGGGCAGUAAGUUAAUACCUUGCUGUUUUGACGUUACCGACAGAAUAAGCACCGGCUAACUUCGUGCCAGCAGCCGCGGUAAUACGAAGGGUGCAAGCGUUAAUCGGAAUUACUGGGCGUAAAGCGCGCGUAGGUGGUUUUGUAAGUUGGAGGUGAAAUCCCCGGGCUCAACCUGGGAACUGCCUCCAAAACUGCAUGACUAGAGUACGGUAGAGGGUAGUGGAAUUUCCUGUGUAGCGGUGAAAUGCGUAGAUAUAGGAAGGAACACCAGUGGCGAAGGCGACUACCUGGACUGAUACUGACACUGAGGUGCGAAAGCGUGGGGAGCAAACAGGAUUAGAAACCCGUGUAGUCC